CCGGAGUAGUAUGAAUAGUCAUAUUUAAAACUCAAAGGACUUGGCGGGGUCUUACACCACUUAAGGGAACCUGUCUCGUAAUCGACAGUCCACGUUAUACCUGACCUUCUUUUGUUUAACAGUUUGUAUACCGUUGUCGUCAGGUAACUUUUUAAAGAAUUGAAGUUAGCAAUAUAAAUAGAUUAUUUAAUACGUCAAAUCAAGGUGCAGCUAAUAAGGAGGGGAGGAUGGGUUACAAUUAUUUACUUAUAAUCACGGAAGUAAACAUAAAAGCAUUUUACUUAAGGAGGACUUAAAAGUAAAUUAAUAUAUAGAUAUAAUUUGAAUGAGGCUCUGAAACGUGU
rnacentral:rRNA from 1 species